rfam:Listeria monocytogenes EGD-e, complete genome
UAAUAUAGAACUUGUAAGCAAGGAAUACAAUUAGUUUUACUCCCUUUUUGCUAAUUGUAAACUUCCUUAAAAUCCUAAACUCCCUUUUUUGGACCGACUUGAUUGUCGGUC